rnacentral:rRNA from 1 species
AGGGGCAGCAUGAACUUAGCUUGCUAAGUUUGAUGGCGACCGGCGCACGGGUGAGUAACACGUAUCCAACCUGCCGAUAACUCGGGGAUAGCCUUUCGAAAGAAAGAUUAAUACCGGAUGGUAUAAUUAUUCCGCAUGGGAUUAUUAUUAAAGAAUUUCGGUUGUCGAUGGGGAUGCGUUCCAUUAGGCAGUUGGCGGGGUAACGGCUCACCAAGGCGACGAUCAGUAGCCGGCCUGAGAGGGUGAACGGCCACAUUGGGACUGAGACACGGCCCAAACUCC